rnacentral:rRNA from 1 species
GACGAACCGAGCGAACGUUGUUCGGAAUCACUGGGCUUAAAAGGGCGCGUAGGCGGUUUGCCAAGUCAGGGGUGAAAUCCUGCAGCUCAACUGUAGAAGUGCCUUUGAUAACUGGCGAACUCGAGGGAGGUAGGGGUGGGUGGAACUUCUGGUGGAGCGGUGAAAUGCGUUGAUAUCAGAAGGAACGCCGGUGGCGAAAGCGACCCACUGGAUCUCUACUGACGGCUGAGGCGACGAAAGCUAGGGGAGCAAACGGG